rnacentral:sRNA from 1 species
GCUGGGUGUGGGGACGUAUACCUGUAGUUCCAGCAACUCAGGAGGCUGAGACAGGAGGAUUUCAAACUCAAAGCCAGCCUCAGCAACUUAGCAAGGCCCUAAGCAACUCAAUGAGACCUUGUCUCUA